GACGAACGCUGGCGGCGUGCUUAACACAUGCAAGUCGUGGGGNGGGUAGCAAUACCUCACCGGCGAACGGGUGCGUAACACGUGAGCAACUUUCCGAUUUCUGGGGGAUAGCCGGCCCAACGCCGGUAAUACCGCAUACGCUCUUCUGGUGGAGUCAUCGGAAGAGGAAACCUCCGGGGAAGAUCGAGAGGCUCGCGGCCUUAUCAGCUAGUUGGCGGGGUAAUGGCCCACCAAGGCGACGACGGGUAGCUGGUCUGAGAGGAUGGCCAGCCACAUUGGGACUGAGAGACGGCCCAGACUCCUACGGGAGGCUGCAGUGGGAAUCUUGCGCAAUGGUCGAAAGACCGACGCAGCGACGCCGCGUGCGGGAGGAAGCUCUUCGGGGUGUAAACCGGCUGUUGCCCGGGACGAAAUGCCCCUUUUCGAGGGUCUUGACGGUACCGGGUUGAGGAAGCGCCGGCUAACUCUGUGCCAGCAGCCGCGGUAAUACAGAGGGCGCGAGCGUUGUCCGGAAUCACUGGGCGUAAAGGGCGCGUAGGUGGCGGCAUAAGGCUGUGGUGAAAGUCCGGGGCUCAACUCCGGAUCGGCCGUGGCAACUGUGUCGCUAGGGCACCGUAGAGGCAGAUGGAAUUCCGGUGUAGCGGUGGAAUGCGUAGAGAUCCGGAAGAACACCGGUGGCGAAGGCGGUCUGCUGGGCGGU
rnacentral:rRNA from 1 species